rnacentral:tRNA from 1 species
UGUUCUGUGGCUUAAUUGGUUGAAGCACCAGUCUAGUGAAUACGGAGUCGUGGGUUCGAUUCUCACCGGAACGC